AUUUAAUUAGUUAAUUAAUAAUAUUAAUUUGUCAAGUUAAAGUUGAAAUUAUACCUCAAUUAAUA
rnacentral:tRNA from 1 species